UACGUAGGGUGCAAGCGUUGUCCGGAAUUAUUGGGCGUAAAGAGCUCGUAGGCGGUGUGUCGCGUCGGCCGUGAAAACCUGCAGCUUAACUGUGGGCUUGCGGUCGAUACGGGCAUCACUGGAGUUCGGCAGGGGAGACUGGAAUUCUGGUGUAGCGGUGAAAUGCGCAGAUAUCAGGAGGAACACCGGUGGCGAAGGCGG
rnacentral:rRNA from 1 species